AGAACUUUCUUUGUAUUUCUUUGGGUUAACGAUCUAUUUCCCCCACGAGAACUAUCAUAUAGCAUCAGAUUCCCACCAAACUAUGACUUCAUGCUAAAUCUCCAUGAAUUAAAAGUUUCAAAUCUAUUUAUCCCUGAAACAAUAGUUUGAAACUUAAUUAUCCAUAGACAAUGGUUUUAAUUGGUUUAUUCUAAACCAACUAAACCAAAACAAAACCCAAUUAACUAACAAAUACAAUGUCGGGUUCUCCGCCUCUAACCCAUCACACAUCGCCUUCGAGCAUCACCACAAUCAUUCCUCCUCCGCGCGACUAAACGCAGUUCCUCCGGUGGAAUCUCCAUCACUGUGAAUCAUCAUCAUAUAUGCUUAGACAACCAUUCUCUCUCCGAUUGUAUCUUCAAAUCUUGCGGCUCAGUUUGUCUAUCUGUUCUCGAGCAUCCAAAGAUGAGAGCUGUUCUAACGCAAGUUGGGUUAACGCAAGCUCGAGUGCUGUUCAUCAUUAUCAUCUCAUAUGAGGAAUAUAUUUGGUAUAAUAUUAAUAAAUGUAAUAGCCACAAUAAAUUAAAAUUAUUAAUACAUUGAAAAUUUAUUUGAAAAACAACUCUUCAAAAUUGUUUUGUAUGACCUUAAAUAUACAAAUUUUAAAAUCAUUCCUCCACAUCUAUGAAAUUUGUCCAACAAAUACACAAUUAAAAAAUAUUAGUUAUCAAAUAUUAAACACAUGACUUUAAAAUUAAACAAAUAAAUAUAUAUUUUUUAAAUAAAUAAAUUUUAAAACGCGAGUUAAAAUCUAGUAUAUACUACUAGGAUUAUGCCCUUGGUUUUUCAAGUUAUUUACGGAGGAAUGCCAUUACCUUUUUCUUUUGUUUUCUUUCUUUAAAAAACGCUGGCUUUAUAUAUAAUUAAUCGAAAUUCAUCUUUAAUAUAAAACAAUAACCUUACCGCAAUAUUUAAUAUACUUCCAUUUUUAAGUUUAUUCCAAGCCAAAUACACUAAAAAACUAACCAAUUACAUAUAUAUAUAUGUGUAUGUAAUCGAUGUGUCAAUUGUAUCUGAGAUAUUGCAAUUAAAGAAUUGAAGAAAUCAUUCCUAAUUAAUAGUGGAUAUCUUUGACGAUUUUUUUAUUCUGUGUAUUGAAAAGUAUUUUUUUUAAUCAAUGAGUUUAAGAAUGGGUGUUCUCUAAAAUUGUUAUAUAAUUCAAUGAAUCAAGUUGUGGUUGAUGUUUUUACAAUCUCAAAUUUUAUUCUAUUAAAUAUGUAAAAUAUUUAAUAAAUUACAAUAUGUUGAUGUUUUUACAAUCUCAAAUUUUAUUCUAUUAAAUAUGUAAAAUAUUUAAUAAAUUACAAUAUGUUGAUGUUUUUACAAUCUCAAAUUUUAUUCUAUUAAAUAUGUAAAAUAUUUAAUAAAUUACAAUAUGUUGAACAAAAAAAUUAAAUCAGUUUUUAUAAAAUUAUUUAAAAAACAUAAACAGUACAAAGGAUCAAAAAUUAUAUUAUAAUUGUGAUCUAAUCUCAAGUCAAAAAAUAAGUUGGAACCUAACAAAAAUACAAAUAGAGCUUCGUAAUAUAUAUUUCAAAUUAUUUUCACAAACACAAACCAAUAUGACAAAAUAAGUUGCAUCUUCUAUUCACAAAUUUAAGAUAGAGGAAUAAACUAUGCAGUUAUAACAAUUUUAAUAAAAUAUUUCUCAUAUUAAUUUCAGUUAUUUAAUUAACAUAGUAUAAAGGUGGGUCAUAAUUCUUUCCACUCCCAGAAAUUUAGUACACCAUAAAAACAAAUAAAAUAAAUUUGAACUUCAAAAUAUAGAUAAAAAUGGAAUUAUAAUUUCUAUUAAAAAUAAAUUUGUCAAUCAAAAAUAAUCGAGUAAAAUAUUAAAAUACACAUGUUUUCAUAACGAACCAAAUAAAUUUAUAAUAUAAUUUGAAACUGUAAAACAUAUUGAUUAGGGUAUUUUUGAUAUCAGGACUGUAUUAAUAAAAAAUAAAGUGAAUAUCCGACCAAAAACUUGGUGCGCAAGGCUGUAUCAAUAAAAAAUAAGGAUAGUGAAUAUGAGAGUAAAGAACCUAACCUUGGUGGGCAAGGCUAUUUCUCUGUAUUAAUGGAGAUGUUUUAGGUGGAGAAGAUGGAAGAUCAUUAGAUCUCUCUUGGCUUUUUGUUUAACAGCACUGAUCAUGUCUUUGUUUCUCAGCCGUCUCCGCC
rnacentral:lncRNA from 1 species